rnacentral:rRNA from 1 species
UCGCCUGUUUAUCAAAAACAUAGCCUUAUGAAUAAAUAUAUAAGGUGAUUUCUGCCCAGUGAGUUUUAAACGGCCGCGGUAUACUGACCGUGCAAAGGUAGCAUAAUCAUUUGCCUUCUAAUUAAAGGCUAGUAUGAAAGAAUUUUCCAAACCCUUGCUUUAUUAUAUUAUAAAAUAAAAAUUUACCUUUAGGUGAAGAGGCCUAAAUAGUUCAAAAAGACAAGAAGACCCUAUCAAGCUUUAUUUAAAUAUAUCAAUUGAUACCUAAAAAUUUUGUUGGGGCGACAAUAGGUCAUAUGAAACACCUAAUAUCUCAAGACCAAUAUAUCUAUAUUUAUAACUUAAUUAUAAACUUAAGAAAGCUACUGUAGGGAUAACAGGCUAAUACUUUUCAAGAGUCCGUAUCAACAAAAGUGAUUGGCACCUCGAUGUUGGCUUAGGAAACCUGAUAUUGAGCAGAAACAUAUCAAGGUGGUUUGUUCAACCAUUAAAUUCCUACAUGAUCUGAGUUCAAACCGGAGA